rnacentral:lncRNA from 1 species
AAUGGACUAGUACCACCUCCUCCUGGAAUAUCUCUUCUGAAGCCUCCGCCUGGCAGAGCAAAUCCUCUCCCACCUGAACCACCUUCUUCAUUUAAGCCUCCUCCCAGCAGGGCUAGUCCUCCUCCAGCGCCUGUCCCACCUCCCGCUUUAAACCCCCCAGGGAGUGCAGGCCCUCGGCCCCCACCUCCUCCAGCACCUCCUGGCCCUCGGCCCCCACCACCUCUAGCACCUCCUGGCCCUCGGCCCCCACCACCUCCAGCACCUCCUGGCCCUCGCCCCCCACCACCUCCAAAGAGCGGCGUUCCUCCUCCUCGGCCACCUCCAGCAAUGGCUAUUGGUUCAAAGGUAGCUCGACCUCCACCUCUUGCACCAAAACAUCCAUCGGAUGCUGGAUCGGAGGUUGAUGGUGAUGCUCCUAAAACAAAGCUGAAGC